rnacentral:rRNA from 1 species
UACAGAGGGGGCAAGCGUUGUUCGGAAUUACUGGGCGUAAAGGGCGCGUAGGCGGCCCGCUAAGUCGAACGUGAAAUCCCCCGAGCUCAACUCGGGAACUGCGUCCGAUACUGGCGGGCUUGAAUCCGGGAGAGGGAUGCGGAAUUCCAGGUGUAGCGGUGAAAUGCGUAGAUAUCUGGAGGAACACCGGUGGCGAAGGCGGCAUCCUGGACCAAUAUUGACGCUGAGGAGCGAAAGCCAGGGGAGCAAACGGG